rnacentral:rRNA from 1 species
UAGAGUUUGAUCAUGGCUCAGAACGAACGCUUGCGGCGUGCUUAACACAUGCAAGUCGAACGAGAAAGGGACUUCGGUCCUGAGUAAAGUGGCGCACGGGUGAGUAACGCGUAGGUAAUCUACCCCUGUGUUCGGGACAACAUCGGGAAACUGGUGCUAAUACCGGAUACGUUUCACAGGUAGCGAUAUUUGUGAAGGAAAGAUGGCGAUCUCUUCGGAGAGCUAUUGCACGGGGAUGAGCCUGCGUACCAUUAGCUAGUUGGUGGGGUAAGGGCCUACCAAGGCGACGAUGGUUAGCGGGUCUGAGAGGAUGAUCCGCCACACUGGCACUGGAACACGGGCCAGACUCCUACGGGAGGCAGCAGUGAGGAAUUUUGCACAAUGGGGGAAACCCUGAUGCAGCGACGCCGCGUGAGUGACGAAGGUCUUCGGAUCGUAAAGCUCUGUCAGCAGGGAAGAAACGUGAGGUGGCUAAUAUCCACUUUAUUUGACGGUACCUGCAAAGGAAGCACCGGCUAACUCCGUGCCAGCCGCCGCGGUAAUAC